rnacentral:rRNA from 1 species
ACCAGCGGAGGGUCAUUGCUGGAACGCGCCCCAGGCGCACCCAGAAACCCUUUGUGAACUUAUACCUUACUGUUGCCUCGGCGCAUGCCGGCCCCGUAUGGGGCCCCUCUCCGGAGGAGCAGGCACGCCGGCGGCCAAGUUAACUCUUGUUUUUACACUGAAACUCUGAGAAAAAAAAACAUAAAUGAAUCAAAACUUUCAACAACGGAUCUCUUGGUUCUGGCAUCGAUGAAGAACGCAGCGAAAUGCGAUAAGUAAUGUGAAUUGCAGAAUUCAGUGAAUCAUCGAAUCUUUGAACGCACAUUGCGCCCUCUGGUAUUCCGGAGGGCAUGCCUGUUCGAGCGUCAUUUCAACCCUCAAGCCUGGCUUGGUGAUGGGGCACUGCUUCUCCCCAGAAGCAGGCCCUGAAAUUCAGUGGCGAGCUCGCCAGGACCCCGAGCGCAGUAGUUAAACCCUCGCUCUGGAAGGCCCUGGCGGUGCCCUGCCGUUAAACCCCCCAACUUCUGAAAAUUUGACCUCGGAUCAGGUAG